AGUGAACGCUGGCGGUAGGCCUAACACAUGCAAGUCGAACGGCAGCACAGUAAGAGCUUGCUCUUACGGGUGGCGAGUGGCGGACGGGUGAGGAAUACAUCGGAAUCUACUUUUUCGUGGGGGAUAACGUAGGGAAACUUACGCUAAUACUGCAUACGACCUACGGGUGAAAGCAGGGGAUCUUCGGACCUUGCGCGAUUGAAUGAGCCGAUGUCGGAUUAGCUAGUUGGCGGGGUAAAGGCCCACCAAGGCGACGAUCCGUAGCUGGUCUGAGAGGAUGAACCAGCACACUGGAACCUGGGCACGGUCCAGGCUUCUACCGGGAGCAAGAGUGGGGGAUUAUUGGCAAUGGGCGGAAACCUGGUCCAACCAAACCGGGUGGGGUGAAGAAGGCUUCGGGUUGUUAAAGCCUUUUGUUGGGGAAAGAAAAGAAGAAGGUUAAUCCCCGGCUUUUCGGAGGUAACCAAAGGAUAAACACCGGCUAACUUCGUG
rnacentral:rRNA from 1 species